rnacentral:lncRNA from 1 species
AUGGCUGCCAUAAUUUCUAUCAAAGCAGAAGAAAUAGAGGUGAACUAUAAAGUGAGAGCCAGUUGCCUCUCUACUCUGCAAUCUAGGAGGAAAAAAGUUUCACCCAAGGACAAAUCAGCUUUUGGUAUUUUAGUUUGUAAUCUUAUAAAAUAUGCCCUUUUUCUAUAUUUGAAAAGAGAGGUUUAAUAUUUUCAUUUGAAAUAAAUUUGGGUUACCAAGAUUAGUGUUAUUACUA